GACGAACGCUGGCGGCGUGCUUAACACAUGCAAGUCGAGCGGCGCGGCCAACGGGUGAGUAACGCGUGAGUAAUUGCCCCCCUCUCUGGGAUAACAGUUGGAAACGGCUGCUCAUACCGGAUAGUGUGGGAUGACUCGCGUCCUAGCAGCUUGUUGGUGGGGUAGUGGCCUACCAAGGCGACGACGGGUAGCCGGCCUGAGAGGGCGACCGGCCACAUAGGGCUGAGUGACGGCCCAGACUGCUACGUGAGGCAGCGGUGGGAAUUAUAGCACAAUGGGGGAAGCCCGGAUGGAGCAACGCGCGUGCGAGAGUACGGGCUUCGGGUUGUAAACCGCUUUCAGCCAUGACGCGGUAGUGGCAGAAGAAGCACCGGCUAACUACGUGCCAGCAGCCGCGGUAAUUC
rnacentral:rRNA from 1 species